rnacentral:tRNA from 1 species
UGCUAUUUAGUUUAUUAAAAUGUUGAUUUUGUAGUUCAAAGUUAAGGGUGUGCCUCUUUUUAGCAA